UACGUAGGGGGCUAGCGUUGUCCGGAAUCAUUGGGCGUAAAGCGCGUGUAGGCGGCCCGAUAAGUCCGCUGUGAAAGUCCAGGGCUCAACCCUGGGAUGCCGGUGGAUACUGUCGGGCUCGAGUCCGGAAGAGGCGAGUGGAAUUCCUGGUGUAGUGGUGAAAUGCGUAGAGAUCCGGAGGAACACCAGUAGCGAAGGCGACACGCUGGGCCGUACCUGACACUAAAACGCGACAGCAUGGGGAGCGAACGGG
rnacentral:rRNA from 1 species